UACGGGGGGGGCAAGCGUUGUUCGGAAUUACUGGGCGUAAAGGGCUCGUAGGCGGCCAACUAAGUCAGACGUGAAAUCCCUCGGCUUAACCGGGGAACUGCAUCUGAUACUGGAUGGCUUGAGUUCGGGAGAGGGAUGCGGAAUUCCAGGUGUAGCGGUGAAAUGCGCAGAUAUCAGGAGGAACACCAAUGGCGAAGGCAGCUCGCUGGGACGUGACUGACGCUGAGACGCGAAAGCGUGGGGAGCAAACAGG
rnacentral:rRNA from 1 species